GACGAACGCUGGCGGCGUGCUUAACACAUGCAAGUCGAACGGGCCUUGUCCCCUUUUUUUUUGGGGGUGGGGUUAGUGGCGAACGGGUGAGUAACACGUGAGUAACCUGCCCCUCACUUCUGGAUAACCGCUUGAAAGGGUGGCUAAUACGGGGUGUUCUGGCCUGCUCGCAUGGGUGGGUUUGGAAAGAUUCGACCGGUUUUGGUUGUUUUGGUGGGGGAUGGGCUCGCGGCCUAUCAGCUUGUUGGUGGGGUGAUGGCCUGCCAAGGCUUUGACGGGUAGCCGGCCUGAGAGGGUGGGCGGUCACACUAGGACUGAGACACGGCCCAGACUCCUACGGGAGGCAGCAGUGGGGAAUAUUGCACAAUGGGCGCAAGCCUGAUGCAGCGACGCCGCGUGAGGGAUGGAGGCCUUCGGGUUGUGAACCUCUUUCGCCAGUGAAGAAGGUCCUGCUCUUUGUGGUGGGGUUGACGGUAGCUGGGUUAAUGAAGCGCCGGCUAACUACGUG
rnacentral:rRNA from 1 species